CCACUAUAAGACUGGGAUAACUUCGGGAAACCGGAGCUAAUACCGGAUAAUAUUUUGAACCGCAUGGUUCAAAAGUGAAAGACGGUCUUGCUGUCACUUAUAGAUGGAUCCGCGCUGCAUUAGCUAGUUGGUAAGGUAACGGCUUACCAAGGCAACGAUGCAUAGCCGACCUGAGAGGGUGAUCGGCCACACUGGAACUGAGACACGGUCCAG
rnacentral:rRNA from 1 species